UAGUCCACGCCGUGAACGAUGUUCACUCGCUGUUGGCGAUAUAUUGUCAGUGGCUAAGCGAAAGUGAUAAGUGAACCACCUGGGGAGUACGUUGGCAACAAUGAAACUCAAAGGAAUUGACGGGGGCCCGCACAAGCGGUGGAGCAUGUGGUUUAAUUCGAAGCAACGCGAAGAACCUUACCAAGUCUUGACACCCCAUUGACCGCUUCGUAAUGGAAGUUUCCUCUUCGGAGGCAAUGGUGACAGGUGGUGCAUGGUUGUCGUCAGCUCGUGUCGUGAGAUGUUGGGUUAAGUCCCGCAACGAGCGCAACCCUUAUCUCUAGUAGCCAGCAAUACGGUUGGGGACUCUAGAGAGACUGCCGGGGAUAACUCGGAGGAAGGUGGGGAUGACGUCAAAUCAUCAUGCCCCUUAUGACUUGGGGCUACACACGUGCUACAAUGGUGGUGAC
rnacentral:rRNA from 1 species